rnacentral:rRNA from 1 species
GGACUACUGGGGUUUCUAAUCCUGUUUGAUCCCCACGCUUUCGUGCUUCAGCGUCAGCGACUGUUUAGCGAGCUGCUUUCGCGUUUGGCGUUCUGCGUCAUAUCUAUGCAUUUCACCGCUACUUGACGCAUUCCGCCCGCUUCAUUAGCGCUCAAGGUUUUCAGUUUCUUUGGCACGGGUAUAGUUGAGCUAUAACUUUUCACCACUGACUUAAAAACCCGCCUACGCACCCUUUAAACCCAAUAAAUCCGGAUAACGCUUGGAUCCUCCGUAUUACCGCGGCUGCUGGCAC